rnacentral:lncRNA from 1 species
GACAACGAAUGAGGAGGGCUUGGGUUGUUAAAGUAAGCAUUUCUUUUGGGGAUCUCCAUUGACAGUCACGGGAACAUGGCUAAACAGUAAACACAAAGUUAAAAAAGCAACAGAAAUGUGUGCAGAUUCAAUUGUGAUAGCAAUGAAAUGUAAAUGCAUUCAAAGCUUUGCGUUACUAAAAUGAUUAAUCUACACCAAAACGCCCUCAGAUUGCGCAAAAAACAUAACCUGUUUCGUAACAGUGUCUUAGAGUUAUGAACGCAACAAUGUCACUAGCACAACAAUGUCAUCACAUAUCAUCAGGAAACGCUUUAGAUUCUCAAUUAUUUAUGCAUGAGUGGUAUGAAGUUAUGAACGCAACUCGGUCUUGUAUUUCGAAUGACGCAGAACUGGCGAUGAUGAAGUUACCAGGUUAACAGGACGAAAUCAAAUCUUGUAGAAGUAACUCAAGCGAGAUCCGAGCACUUCAGUCUUCUCGGUAGGGAAACGAAGCAAAACAGAGAGGCCACUGCUUAAAGUUUAAGGCAGCGAACAGCAAUGGCGGCAAUAAAUAUUAGUCGCCUGAAUUCGAUGAAUAAAGUCUGCAAAGUGAAAUAAACCAGUGAGAUCGUUUUUCCAUACUCCCCGCAGCUUCAAAAUAAAUAAACUAGCCUUUCCUUCGGUGAAGGAUCCGGCGGAAACAGAAACAAUACCAGUCGGCGGAGAGGAAGACGGGAA